UGAUACCAGGGUCAAAAAGUCAUGUGUUUUAUGCCUGCAUGAAAAACAUGACUUUUUGACCCGCAAAACACCUUUUUUCCCCUGCAUCAUGUUAUACGACUAUGAAGGACGCAGUCCUGAAUAGUCAAAAUCUACAUCA
rnacentral:misc_RNA from 1 species